rnacentral:rRNA from 1 species
AGAAUCAACGCUGGCGGCGUGCCUAACACAUGCAAGUCGAACGAGAAAGUGGAGCAAUCCAUGAGUAAAGUGGCGCACGGGUGAGUAACACGUGACUAACCUACCCUUGAGUGGGGGAUAACCUAGAGAAAUCUGGGCUAAUACCGCAUAAUACCUUCGGGUCAAAGGAGCAAUUCGCUUAAGGAGGGGGUCGCGGCCGAUUAGUUAGUUGGCGGGGUAAUGGCCCACCAAGACUGUGAUCGGUA